UAAUUUAUUUAAUUUGUUUUAAAAAAUAUUAAUAUUAAUAUUUUUUUGUUGUUGUUGAGAAAUUUCACUUAAAUUUAUGGGUUACUAGUUGUGUACAAGUUUUAAAAAUGCAACUACAAAUGGCUUACAUGUCUCUGCACAUUAAACAAGGAUUAGAUAAAGUAAUUUUAUUAUUAAAAAGAUUUCAGCUUUAUUGUAAACUUUCCACCAACAAAAAAGACCAUCUGAUUUUAUAUAUAUAUAUAUAUAUAUAUAUAUAUUUUUUUUUUUUUUUCCUAGGUUAAUCUUCUUCUAUUAAAGACCCAUUUAAAAUGCUUGUCAAGGAUGCCUGAAGAACACUCAGUAACGUUAAGAGAAUGUUUCCCAGAUAAGCCUGGCUGAUUUGCUGAUGGAAAAUGAUGUGUGUCUGCUGACAGGCUGCUUGAAGUAUAGUUGUUGGCUGUCAUAGUGAUGCUAUCUCUUCACCAAUCAAAGCGCAGGUCACCGUAGCCACCAGAUCCAGUCUGUAUCCAGAUCAGUGGGUCACUGCAGUCACCCAAAUCCAGUACGUAUCCAGCCAAGAUGGUGGAUCAGCGCCCAGAGAGGACCUCUAUAUCCCUGAAAGACAGCGGAGACCAGGACAACUAGAUGAGCCCCAGAUACAGGUCCCCAUUAAAGACCUUGUCUCAGAUGACGACCAGGACAAGACCACAGAAAAACAGAUGAUUCUUCUGCACAAUGUGACUUUGCUGCAGCCUGGAAUUGAACUGCUGGUUUCAUCUGGCCAGAGGAGAACUAGCCCCCCGACUGAGCCUGGUUUCUCCCAAGGUUUUUUCUCCACUCUGUCACCGAUGGAGUUUUGGUUCCUUGACGCUGUCGCCUCUGGCUUGCUUACUUGGGGACACUUCAUUUACAGCGAUGUCGUUGACUUGAUUGCAAAUGAUUGCACAGAUACUAUUUAAACUGAACUGAGCUGCAUGAUGACAUCACUGAAUUCAGUGAUGAACUGCCUUUAACUGCCAUUUUGCAUUAUUGACACACUGUUUUCCUAAUUAAUGUUGUUCAGGUGCUUUGAUACAAUCUUUUUUGUUUAAAGGGCUAUAUAAAUAAAGUUGACUUGACUGUCCAGGUUAAAAUUCCUUUAUUUUAAACAACUUAAUUUAAAUAAAUAAUACAUUUAAUUUGUAUACACUUUUAUUUUUCAAAUAGAUCCAAAUACCACAUUUUUUAUUUAUUUAUUUAUUUAUAUAUUUGUUUAUUUGUUUAUUUAUUUUUACUUUUUGAUGCUUAAAAAGUACUUUUAAAUAAUUUAUUUACAAAUGUAUUAUCAUUUUUGUGCAUGCAGUUUUUUUUAUACUCUAGAUCGAAUAUUUGUACUUUUAAAUUAUUUUAGCACACCAUAUAGAACAAUUUAAAAUAUUGAACUAUUUGAUAAAAUGUUUAUUUGAUUAAAUUCUAUAUUUUAAUGCAUUAAUCACAUAUUUAUUGCCAGUGCAUGAACAGCUUGCAACAAAACUAAAAAGUCUGCAUGAAAUUAAAAUUUCCAAUAUGUAUUUUGUUAGUGCAUGUUGCUAAUCUUGAGGUGACAAAUAAAUCUGUACAAGUUAGCACACAGAAAAAAAUUGUUUGUCUUGGUGAUCUUUAAUCAAAGUCCAAAAAUUUGCUUCCGCUCUGGAAUGGCAUUCCUUCUCUGAUGACAUCAGUUUGAUGGCUUUGGGCAGAGUAUCCUUAACCAGUCCCCUCUAACCCAUUAGUUUAGCUGUUU
ensembl:lncRNA